UCCGUAGGGGGCAAGCGUUGUCCGGAAUCAUUGGGCGUAAAGCGCGUGUAGGCGGUUCGGUAAGUCUGCUGUGAAAGUCCAGGGCUCAACCCUGGGAUGCCGGUGGAUACUGUCGGACUAGAGUCCGGAAGAGGCGAGUGGAAUUCCUGGUGUAGCGGUGAAAUGCGCAGAUAUCGGGAGGAACACCAGUGGCGAAGGCGACUAUCUGGGCUGCAACUGACGCUGAGGCGCGAAGGCUAGGGUAGCAAACGGG
rnacentral:rRNA from 1 species